rnacentral:rRNA from 1 species
GAUGAACGCUGGCGGCGUGCUUAACACAUGCAAGUCGAGCGAGAAGUUUUGAAAAGUUUCUUCGGAUGAAAUUUAAAAUGGAAAACGGCGGACGGGUGAGUAACGCGUAGGCAACCUGCCCCAUACAAAGGGAUAGCAUUUGGAAACGAAUAUUAAUACCUUAUGAAACUUAACUAGUGCAUGCUAGGUAGGUCAAAGAUUUAUCGGUAUGGGAUGGGCCUGUGUCUGAUUAGCUAGUUGGUGAGGUAACGGCUCACCAAGGCGACGAUCAGUAGCCGACCUGAGAGGGUGAACGGCCACAUUGGAACUGAGACACGGUCCAAACUCCUACGGGAGGCAGCAGUGGGGAAUAUUGCACAAUGGGGGAAACCCUGAUGCAGCAACGCCGCGUGAACGAUGAAGGCCUUUGGGUCGUAAAGUUCUGUUCUAGGUGAUGAAAACUGACAGUAACCUAGGAGAAAGCCCCGGCUAACUCCGUG